rnacentral:rRNA from 1 species
UAGUCCAUGCCGUAAACGUUGGGCACUAGGUGUGGGGUCUAUUCAACGGAUUCCGUGCCACAGCUAACGCAUUAAGUGCCCCGCCUGGGGAGUACAGCCGCAAGGUUAAAACUCAAAUGAAUUGACGGGGGCCCGCACAAGCGGUGGAGCAUGUGGUUUAAUUCGAUGCAACGCGAAGAACCUUACCAGGUCUUGACAUCCAGAGAACUUUCCAGAGAUGGAUUGGUGCCUUCGGGAGCUCUGUGACAGGUGCUGCAUGGCUGUCGUCAGCUCGUGUCGUGAGAUGUUGGGUUAAGUCCCGUAACGAGCGCAACCCUUGUCCUUAGUUGCCAGCGCGUAAUGGCGGGAACUCUAAGGAGACUGCCGGUGACAAACCGGAGGAAGGUGGGGCGACGUCAAGUCAUCAUGGCCCUUACGACCUGGGCUACACACGUGCUACAAUGGAACGCACAGAGGGCAGCAAACCCGCGAGGGGGAGCGAAUCCCACAAAACGUUUCGUAGUCCGGAUUGGAGUCUACG